CAUCACUAGCCAAUGCCUUUGCUUCCAUCGCUUCUAGACCAAUAACGAUACCUCAGUCUACGAGGGAAAUCCUGGAUUGUGAUUGGCAGAUCCCAGAGAUCUUCCUGCUCUCUGCCAUGUGAGGUUCCAACAAGAAGAGGGGCCAUCUGCAAGCCAGGAAGCAGGCCUCACUCAACAUCUGACCCUGCUGGCACCUCAACUUUGGACUUCCAGCCUCCAGAAACUUCAGAAAUAAAUGUCUGUUGUUUGAGCCACCCAAUCUAUGCUAGUUUUGUUAUAGCAGCCCAAACUGACUAAGAC
rnacentral:lncRNA from 1 species